rnacentral:lncRNA from 1 species
UCAGCUCCUGCCAGCAGCCAUUCAAUUGAGACUUCUUGAGCUCUUCCCUCCCACCGGCUCGACCACUUCCUGCCUGGAGCCCCGAUCCUGACCUCUCUCCGUCUUCACCUGUUGCUCUGGCUCCCGGUCCUGCGUUCCUGCCCCGACCCACCCCAGUGGGUCGCCCAGCUGGCCCAGCCGAUCCCAGUCCACCAAAACUGGCCUCCGACCCAGCCGGCUCAUCACCCAGAUCCUUGGAGCAGAUCGCUCGGGACUCAUUUCUACCAGCUGGUAACAGUAUUGGCCACGUGGGCGGAGAGGAGAGACAAGAGGGAAAGAAGAACAGUGAUCAUGGCCAGAUACGAAGAGGAAAUGGAUCUCAUUUUUGGAGGGGUGUGACAUUGCAGCCGGAGCUGGGACGAGGCUGAGGCCACACAGGAGGGA